rnacentral:lncRNA from 1 species
AUCAUAAAUUGCGAGCAUCCUUGCUGUAAGUAUAUAUUUAAACUUGUUUUUUUACUCACAUUAUCAUCCAAUAUGAUUUCUAUUUGGACAUUGGGAACUUGAGUGUUUCAAAGGUGCAAGUGAUUGAGCUAGGUCAAAAGUGGUUCAAGGAGAAGUUAGUGUAUGGCUCCGUUAAGCUUAACCUGUCUGGUUACUGGGAUUGCUGUAAUCACAGGUAAAUCUACAAAAAUAUGGCUGAAGGAAACAUGGUAGCUGUAGAUCCUACAGCUGAAGGAGAUAUGGAUGCUUAUUGGGAAUACAAAACACUUUGUGUACUCAGAAUAUAUAAGUGUACAGACUGCCUCCUGUCUCAUUCCUUGAUUAAGAAGAAAACCGCUCCUCCAAUGCCAAAAGUAAUGGAGUUUGUAAUGCCAAAAAAUAAGGAUAAAAAAAUGUAUGGAAGCGUUUUUCAAUGCCCAUAUACUCGAUGUCGCCAAAUGGUAUACAAAGAGAAAAUCCUUGUGCCUACAAUCAAAUUGAGUUCAUUGUAAUAGAAAAAGAUUCCAGGAGCAUGAGUCGAUUAAUCUAUAUUUUUGUGGCACUGUGUCUGCUAUCUUCGACGGCACUGAAGAGGUAUUGCAGCAGCACAAUUGGAGAUGGAAAGAGAAAGAAGAUCAGUUAUUAAAUAUUAACGAAUAAAUAUUUGGAUACACAUAUAUGAGUUCAUCUUAAAAUAUCAACGUGUCAAAACAUGUCGGGCGUGAUAGCCUUGGUAGUGUUCAUUUCGUUGGUUAAAAAGUAUGAUAAGUGAAUUAGACAUUCCCUUCACCAUGAUGCAUUCGUUUUAAUUCUGGAACUGUACGAAUUUGAGAUGAGUUUCCUUUCGAAUGUCAUGAGAAACUACAUAGUUCACAUGGUAAUUAACUGGAUAUCAUGGUCUCCGAAAGGUAUUCAACUCAAAAACUAGAAAGUUGUCAUUAGUUUUAAGGGUUCGUGAUCACUACAUUGUUUCUCAAUUGUAGCUUAAAAAUUUUUGUUCAAACUGAAAGUCAGUUCAAAGCAGAAUAAGAUCUACUCUUGAAUGGAUUUUUAACAAAUUAGAAUUUAUUGAAAAAUGGAUUGGACCGAUUCAAGUCCUCAAUCAUAUAGAUAAUUAUGUUGUGGGUUACUACUCAUUAUCGUGGCGGAGAUGAUGUAUGUUUGAUAGGAUGCAUUCGAAUACAUAAGUAAUGAGGAAAUAGCUAUUAAGUGAACCAAGAAACGUCUUAAAGAUGAACGUGGAAACAUAUGUAGGAUAGCUGUCUUUAAUCCAUUUUCUAGAAGUUGUUGGGACUCCGGGACCAACAGAUCAAAAACGAGAUGGUCGAUGUUUGUUACCUGAUGAAUUGUUAACAAUUCUAUUGUCUUCUCUAAUAAAGAAAAUUUAUCAUAUCCACCAAUACGGUUCCUUAUUCUCCAUUUGCAAAUUUCUUACUCUGGCAUUGGGAUGUACGAAAUUAAAUGAGUUUGUGAUACUAGAUGGUUUUCUCGACAUUAGUUAAUGUGACUCUUAGAGCCGUUUUAGUUUUGAAAAAAUAUUAAUUUUUUUGUUGUGAAUCGGUUUACAUACGUAUGUAAUUAACUUGGAUUUUAUCAUAAUUUCUAUAAAUCCUCUGCCGAUAUUCAUUCGAUAAAAAAUAUGAUGGACAUUAAGAGAAAGCUGUAGAGAACGCAGUUAAAACUCAUAAUGAAAAAACAGGGAGAAUUCAAUUUUUUGGAUGUAACAUUAGAUGAGUAUACAAAGGAGGUAGAUGAGUUGAUUCAGGUGGAAGAAGAGCUCAUCUUAAUUUAAGCUCAAUUAUACGUUUAUUUGGAGCAAGGUGAUGGAUCAUAAAGGUGUGUCGCUAACGACUUUUAUAACAGAAGAAUGGAAUCCCCAUUUAAUGACGUCACAUAUGUGUGGAUAACACUAGCCCGUACUUGUAUUUUGUUCUAAGAUUCCAAGGAAUCUUACUCAAUAUAAAAUGUUUAACAGACCAAAAUAUGGAAAAACGAAAAGCCUAUUAUCUAAACCAGUCUAUAAUCAUGUUCCACUUGUUUUCCAAUGAUUAGUGACUCAGUAGUAAUUAAUUAAUCAGGCGUGAACUUGAAGUGUGCCUCUUAUAUGAGCAGUAUGUCACGAAAUCAAACUUAUAAAUGGAAUUGAUAUAGAUCUGAUAGAGAUGAAUGAUUUCUGUCUUAUAUACAGGUUGGACAAGCGACAAGCUAAAUGUGUUAGCUAUCGAAUUUAAUAACAAGAUUAUGAGGGUAUCUCGUUUAAGUAUGGAAGAAGUCAGGAGAAUUUCUAUCAUCGAAACUCUGCUGAGGAGAUAAUUUCCUUCUUCAAAUAUCGAAAAUCAACAGUUUAUGACGUAAUUAAGGCCUUUUGAUGAGGAGAGAAAGACUGAGAGAGCAGCUCAUUCAACAAGAUCUGAUAAAAUGCGGACUAAAAGGUUCAUAGCUGGUUUGAAAUGAUCAAUUUAUAGUUUUCGGGACAUGCCAAUUCCUAAGCUGGCCAGGGACCAUUACGUGAGCAAAGGGACCAUAAAAAAACCAUCAUGAUUGACCUGGGUUACUUGUCGAUGGUAAAAACAGAAUCAGGCAGACGGAAUCAGAAAAAAUAAAAUUCUUAUUAACCAAAUUAAUUGCAUAGGUGGUUACGUGCGGUUUUUUUUCGGACAAGAAAAUCUUCACCAUUGAUGACAACUAUAACCGUAGAAACAAUAGAUGGAUCUGUUUGGACCCCAAUGAGGUCCAACCAGCCCUGAAAACAAAGAAUCAGGCUUUGGUUAUGGUUCUUUGGUCAUCAGUUUGGGAGGCCAAUUUACAAGGACAUUCUUAAGGACGUGCUCAUCCCAGGGAUGAAUGAGGUCACUGAUGGGAAACCAUAUACAUGCCAGCAAGACCAUAAGGUCAAGAUUGUUAUUAGGGCAAAAUGUGCUGGAUUUUUGGCCUCCAUUCUAUUCGCCAGCCAACAGGCUGGACCUCAAUCCAUGGGAUUUUUACAUGUGGGCAAGGUGGAGAGGAUCGCCUACAAGAAUAAUCAUGCCUCCAUUACAGCUUUGAAGGCCUCCAUCGUCAAUACAAUGAGGUAUCUGGAUCUGCACGAGGUAGCAAGGCAUUCGGGUGCCGUAUCGACAUCAUGAUCUUGAACGAAGGCUUGUAUUACGAAUAAUCAUUCUACAUUUAAUGUUGCUUUUAAAUGAAUAAAAAUAAUAUUUCA